rnacentral:rRNA from 1 species
GACGUAGGGCGCGAGCGUUGUCCGGAUUUAUUGGGCGUAAAGAGCUCGUAGGCGGCUUAUCGCGUCGUCCGUGAAAACCUGCAGCUCAACUGCAGGCUUGCGGUCGAUACGGGCAGGCUAGAGUUCGGUAGGGGAGACUGGAAUUCCUGGUGUAGCGGUGAAAUGCGUAGAGAUCCGGAGGAACACCCGUGGCGAAGGCGGCCCCCUGGGCCGCGCCUGACGCUGAGACGCGAAAGCGCGGGGAGCGAACGGG